CUAACUUUACAGCCCUUGUAGCAUAGUCAAAUAAAAAAAAUUCCUGGAAUACCCCUUUAAUAUCUGAUAUGUCCCCUGUCUGGGGACCACAUAUUAAAUGGAUUUUUGAUAACGGGGCCGAUUUCUAAGCUUGCUUCCGUCCCCCAAUGCAUUGACCCGAUAUGGCAGUAUCUUCGGGUACAGUGCACCUAAA